GCUUACAGCUAUACCGCCUUGGGUAUGCCCGAUCUCGUCUGAUCUCGGAAGUAGGGUUGGGCCAGGUUAGUAAUUUGAUGGGAGACUCCCUGGCAAUACCAGGUGCUGUAAGCU
rnacentral:rRNA from 1 species